UGCAGUCGAGCGGACAGAUGGGAGCUUGCUCCCUGAUGUUAGCGGCGGACGGGUGAGUAACACGUGGGUAACCUGCCUGUAAGACUGGGAUAACUCCGGGAAACCGGGGCUAAUACCGGAUGGUUGUUUGAACCGCAUGGUUCAGACAUAAAAGGUGGCUUCGGCUACCACUUACAGAUGGACCCGCGGCGCAUUAGCUAGUUGGUGAGGUAACGGCUCACCAAGGCAACGAUGCGUAGCCGACCUGAGAGGGUGAUCGGCCACACUGGGACUGAGACACGGCCCAGACUCCUACGGGAGGCAGCAGUAGGGAAUCUUCCGCAAUGGACGAAAGUCUGACGGAGCAACGCCGCGUGAGUGAUGAAGGUUUUCGGAUCGUAAAGCUCUGUUGUUAGGGAAGAACAAGUGCCGUUCAAAUAGGGCGGCACCUUGACGGUACCUAACCAGAAAGCCACGGCUAACUACGUGCCAGCAGCCGCGGUAAUACGUAGGUGGCAAGCGUUGUCCGGAAUUAUUGGGCGUAAAGGGCUCGCAGGCGGUUUCUUAAGUCUGAUGUGAAAGCCCCCGGCUCAACCGGGGAGGGUCAUUGGAAACUGGGGAACUUGAGUGCAGAAGAGGAGAGUGGAAUUCCACGUGUAGCGUGAAAUGCGUAGAGAUGUGGAGGAACACCAGUGGCGAAGGCGACUCUCUGGACUGUAACUGACGCUGAGGAGCGAAAGCGUGG
rnacentral:rRNA from 1 species